rnacentral:rRNA from 1 species
GUGGAUUAGAUACCCUGGUAGUCCACGCCGUAAACGUUGGGCGCUAGGUGUGGGGUCCUUCCACGGGCUCUGUGCCGCAGCUAACGCAUUAAGCGCCCCGCCUGGGGAGUACGGCCGCAAGGCUAAAACUCAAAGGAAUUGACGGGGGCCCGCACAGGCGGCGGAGCAUGUUGCUUAAUUCGACGCAACGCGAAGAACCUUACCAAGGUUUGACAUGGACCGAAAAGCAUCAGAGAUGGUGUGUCCUUCGGGGCGGUUCACAGGUGGUGCACGGUUGUCGUCAACU